AUCACUUUUGUCUAUUCUUUUUAGCCCAUUUAUCCUUAUUCAAUUGGGCUACUUUUAAUAUACCCAUUUAUUCCUAAUUCCUAUUUAAUUCCUGAAGCCAACAUAAAUCCCUUCUCCUAAACCCUUUCCACACGUUUUCUUUUCUUCUCCAAAACCUCCACUCCUAAAAUCUCUCCAACAACCAAAUAAAUCAAUAUCCAUUAGUUUAAUAUCCCACAUUCACGUCUUUCACAUCCAAGUAAAAUCUGUGAGAAAAACCUAUUGCUGUUUUCUCCUCUUCCGUGAAGUGUAAAGGAGAAACUGGGAGAGCUUUGAUUGUCUUUUGUGGUGCAAACUUUCUUCUUCCCAAAGGGUGAACUAGUGCACGUUGUUGCGGUUGGAACAAGAAAGUGUUGAGGAGUUAAGCAUUUGAGAUUGAGCGGCGAUGGACGUGGAGGAUGUUGAGCAGAGUUCAUGGAUUCUUUUGUCAUGAUUAAUAAUUGUUGGAUUUGUCGUGUCUUCAUACUCGACAUUUUCCGUGUCUUGAACGCUUCCGCUAAGAGUCAUUUUCUUUAGAAUUGUUUAUUCGUGGAGAGUCUUACUCGUUUGAAAAUUGUUUAUUGUCCAUUCUUUAUUUACUUAGAGUUGGUAUUAUUGU